rnacentral:rRNA from 1 species
AUCGAACGCUGGCGGCAGGCUUAACACAUGCAAGUCGAGCGAGCGGCGGACGGGUGAGUAAUGUCUGGGCACCUGCCUGAUGGAGGGGGAUAACUACUGGAAACGGUAGCUACUACCGCAUACCAUCAGAUGUGCCCAGAUGGGAUUAGCUAGUAGGUGGGGUAAUGGCUCACCUAGGCGACGCUCCCUAGCGGGUCUGAGAGGAUGACCAGCCACACUGGAACUGAGACACGGUCCAGACUCCGACGGGAGGCAGCAGUGGGGAAUAUUGCGCAAUGGGCGCAAGCCUGAUGCAGCCAUGCCGCGUGUGUGAAGAAGGCCUUCGGGUUGUAAAGCACUGUCAGCGGGGAGGCGUUACUCGCAGAAGAAGCACCGGCUAACUCCGUGCCAGCAGCCGCGGUAAUUC